CAACGCCCAGCCCCACCACCUGCCAGCUCUGUGCCUUGGGUCUUGUGCCUUAACCUGUCUGAGCCUUUCUCUCUCUACAAAACGACCCGGAGACACCGACCUCUAGGGUGAGGAUACAGUGAGGGGCCUGUGUAGCUGGGACAGGCAGAGCAUGGACACACAGGCCCCUCCCUGCCGCGUCCCUCCCCUCUGUGAGUUCCAGGUUUAUGUCCCAGGACAGAAAGAGAGGCAGGAGGGAUAAAUGAGGUAUAGCUUCCUGGAAGGCCCUUGCCCUCAAAGACGGUGUCUUCCUUGAUGCAGGUAACUUUUAAAGUCUCCCUUUAUUCCUGAAAGUAAAUAUAAAUAUAGCACAAGAUGAAGCUCGAAAUUUGCAUGAAGUUUUAAGAUAAAACACGACACCCGCCCCCCAAAAAAUGUUACUUUCAACAGACCUCCAGAGACGCAUGACAAGAAAGUUCAAGAGGCACGCCUUAGCAUUUUUUCCAAAGCCUUGAUCGUCAGUAGGGAGAAAGGCCAACCUCCCUGCCAGAUGUACCCCAAACCCUGAGAAGUGGGGAGGCGGGUGGGAGCAGAGGGCAGGACCUCCACCCGCUCCAGGGCACGGCAAAUAACAAGGAGCUGAGGCAGGCAGCUGGGGGUGGAUGGGCUGGCACCUUAAGUGUCCUAGUUAAUGCCCAGCUGAGCCUGGGUGAGGAAGGGGGAUGGAGGUGUGGGAAGACACCGCCCCCCCCCCCAACCCCAGACACAGGCAGGCACACCGCAGCCAGUCUCUCACUUCCCUUUUUAUUUCCUCUGAGAUCUACAGGCAGCAGCGUCAGGGAGAGAACCUGCCCUUCAGGCCCCAGGAGGAGAAGGGAGUUCCACACGCGAUCACAUGUACCCUGGGCCCUGCACAGCUGAGGGGUCACUUGUUCGCUGACCCCACAGGCCCCCAGAAGGCACCAGCAGGUAGGCUCCUCAGACGAGGCCCAGAGGAAGUGCAGGGCUGCACCCUGGGCCCUCCAACCCCAGGCUCGAGAAGGUGCGAUCCUGGCACAGGGGCGCGUCUUCGGUCAAUGGAGCAUGGCUUUGGGGAUUUCUUUUUUUCUUUCUUUUCCACACGUCCCCACAAAAUAGAACUUCUCCCGUUAUUUAUAAAUCCGUGGUCCCUGGCGCUGUGCGGAGGUCACAGGAGAGACAGUGCCUCUGUGCAGGCCACGGCCGCCUGUGGUCCAGGCCGGGACUCGGGGCCUAGGCUGCCACCUUGGGGCCGCCGUGCGUCUUCAGGGCCCCCAGCAGGCGACAUCUGCCCUCUGAGCCGGGCACGGCAGCAGAAGAGGUAG
rnacentral:lncRNA from 1 species